rnacentral:rRNA from 1 species
UACCUGCAGCUCGAGUGGUAACCGCUAUUAUUGGGCCUAAAGCGUCCGUAGCCGGUUUGGUAAAUAUCUGGGUAAAUCGUGAGGCUUAACUUCACGAAUUUCGGAUAGACUGCCAGACUUGGGAUCGGGGGAGGUCAGAGGUACUCCAGGGGUAGCGGUGAAAUGUUGUAAUCCUUGGAGGACCACCGGUAGCGAAGGAGUCUGACUAGAACGAGUCCGACGGUGAGGGACGAAGCCCUGGGGCGCAAACCGGAUUAGAUACCCCGGGUAGUCCAGGGUGUAAACGAUGUGGGCUUUGUAUUGGAGGUCCCGCGUGGGCGUCCAGUGUAGAAGAGAAGUUGUUAAGCCCACCGCCUGGGAAGUACGGUCGCAAGGCUGAAACUUAAAGGAAUUGGCGGGGGAGCACAGCAACGGGAGGAGCGUGCGGUUU